AACCAAAGACCGCGGUUCUCUCGCGAUUGGAGCACGCGCGUUAGACAAGAAACGCGUCGCGGCGGCGGCGACUCGAGCGAGCGUGCGUGCCUGCCUGCUUGCCUGCCUGCCUGCCUGCGUGCGUGCGUGCGUGCGUCCCGAAACGGAACGGAGGAACGUACCGUGGUCGGCCGCGGGGGCCGAGAGGCGAGAAAGCGGAAAAAGACACAUAUACACACGCACACACUGUCAUGGCGUUAACGUUAACGACGCGUGUCGAGCGUACUAUGUGCCGUCGUUGUCGCGAAGCGAGGUGCCGGUAAUAUACAUAGCCGUUCUCCGCCGCGAAACAGUCGCCGGAUAACACACGGCAGAACGACGGCGACGAUCGUCGCCCAUCCGUCCGUACGGAGAGAAAGAAAGAAAAAGAGAAAGAGAGUGUAUGUGUACAUGCGCGAGUGUAUGUGUAUGCGUGUAACCAGCACGAGCAUUGUCAGUCGCUCUGCUCCGAAUCGUCGCGGUCGAUCUUAUACCCUCGGCAUCCACCUUUCAUCCGCGACGAGGGUUCGUGCGAGACGGUGCACGAGAUCGGGGACGUCACAUGCUAUGCGGCAUCCUUCGUUGUUCGCCGUCCGGUCGUCGUCGAUCGCGAGAAACGAACGCGGCAUCGCCGCCGCCGCCGUUUUGUCGCUCGCGAGCGCGCGCAAGAGAGAGCGAGAGGGCCGCUCCUCUCUCUGUCUAUCUCUCUCGCUCUUAUGUAGAGAGUGCGAGCACGCUUAACCUAAAACUCUCUUCUCUCGGUUCGUCUCGUUAUCGUCCCGUGUCCCGUGUCCCGUCUCCCUCGUCACCGCGGGAUCCCGUUGUCCGGUACGCGUUCCCUCGAUAAGCGGCACAUCGGACGUGCCGAGGAGACGACGCGUCCGAAUCGAUCGAGGUACGAUCUUCGACGGCGUUCAAUCGCGAACGCGACAGACCGAGACGGAGCCGCGAGUCGCGCGAGACUCGCUUCUUCGACGUCGCGCCUACCAGGUGAUGCUGAUUGUGAACUGCCAUCCUCCUCGCGACUCGAGUGUUCGUGAACGCGCGUGAUAAUAACUGGUGCUCUUAGCGGACACCCGAAUGUGCAUUCGGUGCUACCGUGUCAUCAUUUUUCCCUGCGCUCUCGUUGAAGAGUCCCUCUUAGUCCCCCAGGUAAAAUAAAACUCUCUUCCUCUUUCUGCCAUUAGACUCUAUCUUCCUCGUUGUCAUUACCUGGCCAACUGAUGACGACUGUGAUCUCUGUGAUUUUCACAACAGGAAUGUUUGUUUGUUGAACGGAUAAGAAGUUUUGCGGUGGACAAUGCAGCAAUUUAGAGACCAAUGCCCUUGAUAGUAGUUGUGCAGUUACGGAACUUGUGGUAAAUAGUGUAUAGCGUGUGCACUUUUUGGUGUUUUGUGUUGCCUACUGCCACAGCUGUGAGAACAGUUUCUCCUCAAAGACCGCACUGCUGAUGUCUACAGAAUUUUACUGUUGUGUACUCUGCCAAUCGCAUCAGAUUGGUAAUGGUGAUGACAUUUCAUCAUGAAAUGACUUGUGUUUUGUCAAGAGCCACUACCGAGCUUCACGAUGGAGACAUAGGACACACUCGAUGAAAAAAAAAAUGCCUAUGUAGAAGAACACAUGUUCUGGGAAUUGAUGGGUAUAUGCUUUUCCUGCAGGAGACCAACCAGUGGCAGGUUGAACAGUAAAAUUUCUGAACACAUCUCGGCAUCAGUAACACCUCUCCAUGUUUGUCUGGAAGAACAAAGAGGACCAGAACUGGGUUCAUGUGACGCCUCACAAGCUCACAGGCCUCAGGUUAAAAGGACCUUUAAGAAUCAAAAAACAGAAGAAGAAAUUCCCGAAGAGGUGGCAGAGGGUAGUUCGAUCGAGAUUGAGGCAGCAGAGUUAAGACACAGUAUGGCCAAUACUAUCAGCAACAUAAAGAUGACCAACCCCAUAAAGGGGCUUGUCAGCAAACAUCGUAAACGUUUCAUAGAGGAUGGUUUUAAUCUUGAUCUCACAUAUAUAAAAGAUAAUUUAAUAGCAAUGGGUUUCCCAGCUGAGAAGCUGGAGGGGGUGUACAGAAAUCAUAUUGAUGAUGUUGUUAAACUACUGGAAUCCAAACAUAAAGACCACUACAAGAUUUAUAAUUUGUGUUCCGAAAGAUCAUACGAUUGCAAUAAGUUCAAGCAAAGGGUAGCCAUUUACGCAUUUGAUGAUCAUAAUCCACCAAAGCUGGAACAGAUCAAGCCUUUUUGCGAGGACGUGCAUUCGUGGUUAUCUAAACACAAAGACAACGUGGCUGUAGUUCAUUGUAAGGCGGGCAAAGGUCGAACAGGCGUAAUGGUGUCCUGCUACCUACUCCACAGCAAACAAUUUCUGAAUGCCGCCGAUGCCCUUAAUUUUUAUGGAAAUAUACGCACUCACGACAAGAAAGGCGUAACUAUACCGUCGCAGAUAAGAUACGUGGAUUAUUAUGCCACCAUUGUUAGAGAGGGUCUCAAUUAUCAACCAGUGACAUUAAUAUUGCGCAAAAUACAGCUGGAUCCGGUCCCUAUUUUCAAUGGCGGUCAAGCAUGUCUGCGUUAUAUAAUCUCGGAAUCAAACAAAAGAAUAUUUUCGGGUGUUUACGAGGUUCGGAAAGGUACGCCUUCUAUAUGUAUCUCGUUACAACACAGUAUAGCUUUGACGGGUGAUAUAAGAGUGGAAUUCUUCAACAGACCAAAAAUGAAACCGAAGGAAAAAAUGUUUCAUUUCUGGUUCAACACAUUUUUUGUCCGUGAAAAAGUAAAUUCCGAGUAUGACAAUGGCGAGUUACUUGUUGAAAGAGCGACGAGGGCAUUGAGCUGCGAUGGUACAGCUAUGGAAUGUCCGAUGGUUAUGUCGCACGUGAAAUCCAGAACGGGCUCGUUGGCGAGCCUCGGCUCUAUGCCGCCUACUCUCGUUUUACGGAUAGGCAAGACUGAGUUAGACAAAGCACACAAGGAUACAAAUCACAAAUUAUACAGUGAAGAUUUUAAAGUAAGUCUAUUUAUGCAUUGCGUGGGUGGGAGUACAUCACCGGCUGUGCCAGCGACGACGAACAGAAGCGGUGACGGCAUGCAGCUAGGGAUGGGCGGACAGGAGACGCCGAGCGAGUCGAGCGAGGCGGAUAGCAGUGAGUGCGACACCACCGGUGACGAGGACGGUUGGGAAUCCGUGGACUUGGACCAGCGUGUCGGCCGGUACCGUCUUCUAUCGGAUGGAGGGAUGAUAGAUCUUUUGUGAGCCCAUCGCCAAUCACUCCUAAUCAUCCUUCGACUUCAUUGACAUUUAAUAAGUUUCCAGACACACACAUACAAAUACAUGCAUAUAUAUAUAUAUAUACAAAAACAUUGUGCAGCGCGCUGCACGAAACAUUCAUCAUUGCGUCGAAAGAACUAUGUAUGUUCUACGCGUUCAAGUUUACGGUUUAAACUUUUGUACUUGAGUUAAUAUCUUAUUUACGCUACGAGAAAGAAGAAGCCAAUGUGAUUUUUUUCUAUAUAAACAAAAAAAAUAAAAAAAAGAUAUAGAAACUAAUCGCUUUCUUGCCAUUACGAUCCACCGUGAUGAUCCAUGUUGAUGAUGAUUUUACAUAAUUUACACACGUGAACAGAAAAAUGUAGAGAUUAAGUUUGCGAGUGAUUGUGAAUGAAUGUUAUGGGAGAUGAAGAAGAAAAAAAGAGGGAGAAAAAGUAAGAGAGAAAGUGAGUUUGAAAGAUGAAUGAUUGAGAUGAAAGUAUUCAUUAUCCAUAAGACUUUAAUCAAAAUUAAUGUAUAUUCACAGGUUUACUAACACUAUUUAUAUUAUGCACACUUUACUUGAACUCUUUCGUUUUCCUCUAUAAUGAUUAUAUUUAAGUGGAUAUCGUGUUCAGCUCACUCAAUUCUGCAUGGCACAUUACUUUUUUUCACUCACAUGACAAUUGGGCACAUAGAUAAUUUUUGUUGUAUUCGAUCAAGUGUCACAAACGUUUCGAUUUAUGUUCGAUAUUCUUGAAUAAAAAAAAAAAACCAUUGAAAGAUAUCGUCAUAAAAUUACGAAAUGUUAGCAUAUAAGAAUAGCGAGAUAUUUUAUAUAUUUAUUAUAUAUUUGUUUCAUGAUACGGAGUCACAAUAACUUCUAAAUAUGUAUAAAUAUUAUACACAAAUUUUUAGUAAAUGUUAUUCAAAUUAAUUGACGACAUAUUUAUUAAAAAUCUAUAUAUAUAUAUAUUCUCUCAUUAAUUCCAAUUAAUUAAUUUUUCACGGUAAUGUAUCUUUUUUCUGAAUAAUUUAAAUAUAAGUUUCUGUCAAAAAUGAUGGACUAAAUUGACGUAUGUAUAGUUUAUAAAAAGAUUUAAUCCAACGAUAUUUCGUAAUACUGAUUCGAUAUACCGAAAAUUGUCUAUGCGUAUAUGCAGAAGUUUAAUAAAUUGUCAAUAUUUCUAUAAAUGCAGUUUUAUAUAUACAUAUAUAGCUGAAAUGUACAUUUUACGUCAUGAGUGAGCUUAUAAAUUCUAUAAUAAAAUUGAGUUCGUGACGGACGCAUAUCUGUAAUGCAAUUUAUCUGCAAUGAGAAAAGUUUACCUGAAUUUCUUCGACAAUUCAAAGAAUAUUUUACAUGAUGCUGUCCUAUAUUGUAUACUACUUAUCGAAUUAAGCGAGGUAGAAAAUUUCCAAGCGUUUAAUAUUUUAUAAAACAAUGCAGGAGUAUGAAAUUAUGACACUUUACUUUUUCUGUUUGCAAACCUGUGAUUUAUAGUAAUUUUUUUUUUUAAUUAAAAAAAGGAAAAAAACGUAUACAGCCAAACUUCAAAACGCGACGACAAAUAUAGAAACAUUAUGUCUGUUAGGUAGAAGAAACAAUCGAAAACAAAUGAACGGUCCAUAUAAAUAUAUAUGGCGUAGCGGAAGUGCAUAUUUAUAUGAACUAUAUAUAGGCCGCAAAAUAAAAAAAAAAGAAAAUAAUGCUGUAAAAAACGAAUAUUUUCAUAAGAAUAAAUAUCGUAAGUCAAUAAUAAUAACGUUUAGAGAGAAUAUUGUAUGAAACAACCGCCAUCGAUUUCUUCGUUGAAAGAACCGAUUCUCAUCGUAUCCUUGCGAGUCUCUCUCACGGUUCGUACACUGGCAACAAUUUGCAGGGGAUUUUUUAUGCUGAUAUAAAUCAAUAUUGACUGGCGAUACGAGUUUAAGAAAUCGAGACGCUUUUCUUCGAUUUUUAUUAAAUUACAGGAUGUUUCAGAUUCAUUGCAUUUCUUUUUAGAUCCUUCGAACUUGGAUUCGAAAAUUUUUGUCAAUAAAGAUGUCAUAAACAUUAUAAUUAGCGAUUAAAUGUCAAAUUAAGUAAAUAGUCAAAUUAAUAGAUUGCAUUAUUAAAUUAAAAAAGAAAACAAA